UGCGCGCUCGGGCGCGCGCGUCCCCCGCGCUGGCCGCGGGCCCCAGAGGACCCCAGCGGGCGCCUUCGCCCCAGCUCAGCUCCGCCCAGGCCGAGCGCCCCGGGCCCCGGGCGGCCGCGUGCUGGAGGGCCCACAGGUGAUCAAAUAAUUUAUCAUCACAACCUCGGCACCUCUGAGAGUGAAAGGGAGCAGAAUGCAUCAACCUGCCUGUGUUUCACCUUCAUUCUAACAUGAAAUGACUCUCCCUGUCACCUAAGGCUUUUUGAACGUCCAUGGGCGCGCAAACCAAGGCCUGGGGACAUGGGAUAACUUUCCAAGCAAGUUAGUGAACGCUGCCUAGGAGGCUGGCGCCCUGGAGGGCUCCGGAUAAAAUCCCUAACUCUUUU